CUCUUCUCCUCCAUCCCCCAAAUUGUCCUCCACCUCCGCCUAUGUUCUUCCUCUGCCUGCGACGCGUGCUACCUGAAGAGCGAAGGCCGUCGAGUGGGCUCCGAUGAAUGGAAUCGCAAAAACGGCACCAAGCCCAUCCGGAUCAAAAGACCGGUUCUCCUUUUACACGGGUUAAUUGUACCUCAUGCCGCCGUAAUCAUGGAUUCAUGACGCUGGUAACGCCCCAACGUCUUUCCUCACUACACCCAUCUCACAUUGGACGUCCCAUUAGUAAUCUGAGAUGCUGCUUGCUUAGAUUAUUAUUCCCGGAUUCAUCUCACCAGUGUGACCUUUAUUUAUUAUUAUUUCACAAUGGCUGCCGGACAGACGGAGAAGAAGGCUGUAAUGGUGUCAGCGGAACAGGGUGCCCCCGGCGCGGCGAAUACUACGCCGGCUUCUGCAUGCGGAUGUCAGGAGCUACUCCUGAAUCCUGAUUCAUGCGAGGGUGCUGCACAAGUUGGAAUAAUGCAUAUGACAGUGUCCAGCUGAGUAAGGAUGCAAUGAACCGAGCUUUCAAUUGUACAUCUACGCGGUGAUUAUUAAUGACUGGGUAGGAUAAACAAAAUGUGAUCUUGUUAUUCAUAUGAUUCCUAUGCAGUUUUUGGUUGUCAGGUCUUCCCAAUUUGAGACCAAAUGAAUUUACACACCAUGAGUGUGAUAGCUUGUUUCCGGUACUUGAGAUUCUCUCUGCCUAUUUCCUGUAGGGAUAUUCCAAAUUUUCUUAUUGACAUGUUGCGUGUCAAGUUCUCUUUAAUGAAAAAAAAAGUGUAACUGAUGUAACCCUAUGCAUAUAUGUUAUAUUGCAGGAAAGUUCUUACGUAUCAUGUUUUAUUCACGUGCCCUUCUCUUCUAAUUGGUCAGUGCAUUCAAGAUUUUUGUACUAAUUCGCCAUUAUAAUUCCUACAUCUGUAUGGCUUCUUAUAAAAAAAAAUUCUAAAUUGUCAGCCAAACAAAUAUCCAAGUACCGCUGUAUGCAGGUGUUCCAUAGAGUACCACCCAUGUAAGCCUGUUGAUAGCAAUGGUUCAGAAAAUAUUGUUUGACUUUGACAAGCUAGCUUGGUAUGGUCUUAUUGUGGAUCUUUAUUUAUGCGUUUACAAUGUUUGCUUGAAUACAGUUUUCUUUUUACCAUUUUAGUUAUCUCUGACAUCUAAACAAACUAAAUGAUAUGAAUUAUCAUCAUGCUGAGACUGCAAAGAGUUUAGGCUUAGCGGAUGUGUUCUUGCUAUUCGCCAUGCCAUUUGAUUCAUCACAGGUACAUUCUGUGCUAGCUGAUAUUUUCUAUGUGUUUUUUCCAAAAAGAAGGUUGAAUCCCCGGCCUCUACAUCAAAAUAAUGCACACAACCUGCUUUAUUAAAAUUGAAGUAAGGCAACCAUGCCAAACUCAUCGGCAGUUAAAUUACAUAACGUGAACAACUAGGGGAACUUAUAUUUCCAGAGUUAGAACUAUUUGAUAUCUUGUUCUGGUCUUUAUUAAAGUAUAUGUAAGGCAACCAUGCUAAACUCAUCAGCAAUUAGAUUACGUAACCUAAACAACUAGGGGAACUUAUAUUCUGAGGCUAAUGCAGUCGAGUGAUAUUUUUAGAACUAUUCGAUAUCUUGUUCUGGUCGUUCCUGAUGUUGCGUCUAACGAAGCCUUAUAAACCCAUCCCACUGAUAUUUGUUAACACAUUUUUUCAUUUAUUAUUAAUGUUAGAAUCUAAUAUAUUUUGUUAUUGGUGUUGUUCCAUGUUUAUAUAUCUAUGUACUACAGUGACUCAAUUCCUGGUAGGAAAUUAAUAGAUCAACCCACUUAGCUCACUAAUCCCAUAUAGCUAGGGCUUGCAUUUCAGUGUUAAUUUUUGUCUGGGAUCCUGGACGUGAGGCAGUUGUACAAACAACAAUUUCUUUGUCAUCUUGAUUAGUGCAUAUUUCCCAGUUCAUACUUUGACUGCUUCUAACUUUGUGUACUUAACCCUUUUAUCUAAGGUUUGGGGUAUACAACUGAUCUGCAGCUGCAUGCAUGCCGGGAUUUACUCCAUGUUAUCCAAACUGUCUUCUCCUCAUCAGGUAUACUAUAAAACCUCCAAUACGUGGUAUAACUUUGUACCUAGAUUCUAUCAGUGAGAAUCUUUCAGUCUCUUUUUGACAUACAAGAGAACCAUGGAAGUGCUCAUUCGGAAAUUCAAGCAAUUGUGUAUGGCUAGCACGAUGUAUUUGUUGCCAGAAAUUUAUUAUCCAUUCUGACUCCAGCAUUGAUAUUAGUUUAUUGCAUAGAAGAAGCAAAUCUUGGACCAGCGGCUUUGAUUUACCGAGAAUUCUCCACCCUAGCCUGAGAGAUGAAUUUCUGUGCAUUAUUAACCUUUUCUUUUGGCUAGAU